rnacentral:rRNA from 1 species
AUGGCUCGCGUCUACGUGGGGAAUCUGGAUCCGCGCGCCACUGCACGCGAGAUCGAGGACGAGUUCCGCGUGUUUGGGGUUCUCAAGAGUGUGUGGGUUGCUAGAAAGCCGCCAGGAUUUGCUUUCAUUGACUUCGAUGAGACCAGGGACGCAAAGGAUGCAAUUCGUGAAUUGGAUGGCAAGAAUGGGUGGAGAGUUGAGCUGUCAACAAAAUCUGGUAGUGGCCGUGGCCGAGAACGUGAACGCUCUGGAGGUUCUGAUAUGAAGUGCUAUGAGUGUGGUGAAAGUGGCCACUUUGCACGAGAAUGUCGCCUACGGAUUGGUUCUGGGGGCCUGGGUAGCGGAAGACGCCGCAGCCGAAGCCCGAGGCACCGCAGCCGUAGCUGUAGCCCAAGAUACCGCAGGAGCCCAAGCUAUGGCAGAAGGAGCUACAGUCCACGGGAUCGGUCUCCCAGGAAGCGAAGUUACAGCAGGUCUCCACCGCCUGCCCGUGCGCGAAGCACCAGCAGGUCUCCACCGCCUGCCCGUGGGCGAAGCAUCAGCAGGUCACCGCCGCCUGCCCGUGCGCGAAGCAUCAGCAGGUCACCUCCGCCUCCUCGCAACAGAAGCAUCAGCAGGUCACCACCGCCUCCUCGUGCCAGAAGCAUCAGCAAGUCACCACCGCCUGCCCGUGAACGGAGCUAUAGCAGGUCCCCAGCACAGCCACCCCAGCGCGAGGAGUCCCCUUAUGCUGAUAACGCGUGA